rnacentral:rRNA from 1 species
AGCGAACGCUGGCGGUAGGCCUAACACAUGCAAGUCGAACGGCAGCACAGGAGAGCUUGCUCUCUGGGUGGCGAGUGGCGGACGGGUGAGGAAUACAUCGGAAUCUACUUUUUCGUGGGGGAUAACGUAGGGAAACUUACGCUAAUACCGCAUACGACCUACGGGUGAAAGCGGGGGAUCUUCGGACCUUGCGCGAUUGAAUGAGCCGAUGUCGGAUUAGCUAGUUGGCGGGGUAAAGGCCCACCAAGGCGACGAUCCGUAGCUGGUCUGAGCGGAUGAUCAGCCACAAUGGAACUGAGACACGGUCCAGACUCCUACGGGAGGCAGCAGUUGGGAAUAUUGGACAAUGGGCGCAAGCCUGAUCCAGCCAUACCGCGUGGGUGGAGAAGGCCUUCGGGUUGUAAAGCCCUUUUGUUGGGAAAGAAAUCCAGCUGGCUAAUACCCGGUUGGGAUGACGGUACCCAAAGAAUAAGCACCGGCUAACUUCGUGCCAGCCGCCGCAGUAAUAC